rnacentral:misc_RNA from 1 species
CACACAGCUGUUGCGCACUGCGCAGGCGCACUACCUCCCCUCCCCCAUCUUCCCCCUCCUCUUUCAUCUCACCAAAACGCCUCCUCCGCUGCAUACUGCAUUCUUUCCUUUUGUGCAUGUGUGUGUCGGCUGCGCAUCUCACCAGCAGCGCACUCCAGACUCAUCACGCCUUCAUUUCUGUUGUGUCUCCUGCUACACCACAACAGCCGCGUAAACGUCACAUUAGUCGCACAAGGCUACACAAGCGCAUCAUACACUGUGGUGUGUCUUUCUCCCCAUCUGCUUCUUAUUUUUUGGCACCUUUUCUCGUCACAUAGCACAGGCUUCUCAGCGGAGUUCUAUAUAUUUUUUAUAAUUUCUCUUUUUUUUAAUGCUCUCUCUCUCUCUCCCUCGGUCCUCCUGACAAUAUCUCAUCACUUUUUCUUUGCCAACUCCCUUCCUCACCUCUACGCAGCUCUCCAGCGGUGACUCAGGACAACAGGAUGUCUCUUGAUAUCGCGACUUACCAGCUCCUGGACGCCGAUCAUCACAUCCAUUUCUGUUCGCAAUCACCAGAUACGAAGUUUCUCGCGUGUGCCCUCGGUAACGGAGUGGUGUGUCUUGUAAACGCCAUCACGUUCAAUGCUGUGGCGCGUGGGGCCCCCGGGAAGGACUUUCUCGACGUCCCCGCUACGUGCAUUCGAUGGGCUCCAGAGCAGUGCGACAGCGCUUGGCAACUCGUCAGCAGCAGCUGCGCUGGUGGUGUCAUGCUGUGGCACUGGGAUCGUAACGAGUUCUCUCUUCGACGUGGAGCCGCAGCGUGCGAGAAACACAAUGAGGUGAUGGUGGUGGAUGUUUCGCCGAGCGGAAAGCAAGUGUUGACGGCGGGCAGCGAUCGUAUCGUGCGCCUGUACGACUCCAAGCUUACCCCGCUUGCGCAGUUGACAGAGGGAGUAAACGCGGAUGGCACAUCACGCCCGGCACACACAAACCGCAUUUUCUCUCUUCGCUUCUUGACCGAGGUGGCGGCAGUCAGUGCAGGCUGGGAGAGUCCGAUUCAGCUGUGGGACCUGCGUGCGUGUCGAUCCAACAGGCAGGUAGUGGGGGUGCAGGGGGUGUCGGAUUGCUUAGAACCCGUCCCAAGCACACCGAUAGUGCUGGUGGCGUCCCCGAAGUCGACGAACACACUGCAAAUUUUCGACACCGUCACCGGAAGAGUGCUGGAGGAGAACUCGAACAAAAUGUGCUCUCAGUUAAACGUGGCAGAGCGCGUGUUAAUAUGCCGCAUCCAGGGCGAAACAGGCAAUGCCUGGUGUCUCACGGUUUCGCCGCCCUCCGUGAUUGUUCUCUGCGUGUCCUCCGGCCUCAUAGUGGCACGCGCGGCGCUCGCGCAUACUCCAAUCAACAUGACCAUGAAAGAUGCCAGUGUGGUGGUGGGGUGCAAGAAUGGAGUUUUGCUGCAGGUGUCACUUAGGAUGUAAACAAGUCUCAGUCAAUAGUAAUAGGUAAGAGACGUGUUCUCCCUAUCUGGCACUUUUACUCUCCUUUUUUUUUUCGCGGUCGUCUGACGCUGCGCCUGCGUCGAGGGUGUCCCUCACAGAGGGCAGCUUUGUGGGUUUUUGGCUCCGUCUGCAUGUAUCAUAUUACGCUGCGGCAGUACGCACAGACAGACACGUGCUUUAUUUUUUUUUCGUCUCCCUGAGCGUUCCCGUUUGCACACACGAACACGUUAGCGCAUAGGCGCAUAAAAC